ACAUAGAUAGAGACUGGAGGUAAAACAGAUCCAUAUCCUGCCAUUCUGAGAUAUCAUCAGCAUUUCAUGAUCCUCCAGCACAACAGAGGUCCAGUCCAUGAGGGUUUGUCUUGUCAAAGCUGGACUUGAGGCUCCUUCCCUGAACAGAUGUUUCUGAGCUCUAGGUUUGGAAGAACAUCAUAUUUAAAAAGGGAAGGACCUGGCAACCCACCUCUGUUCCUCCCUUGACUUGCCUUGAAACCCACGCGAGUGGUCGCUACGAGUCAGGUUUGACUUGGCACCUUGCAUGCAUGCAUGCAUGAGUGAAAGAGUUGUGUGGUGAGUUGCAUCCCAUCCAUGGUUGCCAGUACCCAGAAUAUGUGCCCUUCCUGAGACUGGCUACUGAUUUCUGCAACUCCGUGUGGAAAUAUU